GACAGCAGCAUUACCACUUUCUAGCCUGAUCUGCUCAGAUCUCAGGCAUUAAGCAAGGCUGGACCUGCUCAGUAAUUGGUUGGGAAGCCUCCAAGGAAAACCAUGGAUUCUGCUGUAA
rnacentral:rRNA from 1 species